UACGAAGGGGGCUAGCGUUGUUCGGAUUUACUGGGCGUAAAGCGCACGUAGGCGGAUUGGUCAGUUAGGGGUGAAAUCCCAGAGCUCAACUCUGGAACUGCCUUUAAUACUGCCAGUCUAGAGUCCGGAAGAGGUAAGUGGAACUCCUAGUGUAGAGGUGGAAUUCGUAGAUAUUAGGAAGAACACCAGUGGCGAAGGCGGCUUACUGGUCCGGUACUGACGCUGAGGUGCGAAAGCGUGGGGAGCAAACAGGAUUAGAAACCCGCGUAGUCC
rnacentral:rRNA from 1 species